UACGUAGGGGGCAAGCGUUGUCCGGAAUCACUGGGCGUAAAGGGCGCGUAGGCGGCGCGGGCAGUCAACGGUGAAAGCUUGGGGCUCAACCCCGAGUCGGCCGUGCGAACUGCUGGGCUCGAGCACUGUAGAGGCAGGCGGAAUUCCGGGUGUAGCGGUGGAAUGCGUAGAGAUCCGGAAGAACACCGGUGGCGAAGGCGGCCUGCUGGGCAGUUGCUGACACUGAGGCGCGACAGCGUGGGGAGCAAACAGG
rnacentral:rRNA from 1 species